UGGGGAAUAUUGGACAAUGGGGGAAACCCUGAUCCAGCGAUGCCGCGUGAAUGAAGAAGGCCUUAGGGUUGUAAAGUUCUUUCACCCACGACGAUGAUGACGGUAGUGGGAGAAGAAGCUCCGGCUAACUCCGUGCCAGCAGCCGCGGUAAUACGGAGGGAGCUAGCGUUGUUCGGAAUGACUGGGCGUAAAGGGCGCGUAGGCGGUCUGCUCAGUGAGACGUGAAAGCCCCGGGCUUAACCUGGGAAUUGCGUUUCAUACUGGCAGACUUGAGGACGAGAGAGGAAAGUGGAAUUCCUAGUGUAGAGGUGAAAUUCGUAGAUAUUAGGAAGAACACCAGUGGCGAAGGCGACUUUCUGGCUCGUAACUGACGCUGAGGCGCGAAAGCGUGGGGAGCAAA
rnacentral:rRNA from 1 species